rnacentral:rRNA from 1 species
AUUGAACGCUGGCGGCAGGCUUAACACAUGCAAGUCGAGCGGGGGAAAGUACUUCGGUACUCGAGCGGCGAACGGGUGAGUAACACGUGAGUAAUCUGCCCUUGGCUUUGGGAUAGCCACCGGAAACGGUGAUUAAUACCGGAUAUGACCACUCUAGGCAUCUAGUGGUGGUGGAAAGUUUUUCGGCCAGGGAUGUGCUCGCGGCCUAUCAGCUUGAUGGUGAGGUAAUGGCUCACCAUGGCUUCGACGGGUAGCCGGCCUGAGAGGGUGACCGGUCACACUGGGACUGAGACACGGCCCAGACUCCUACGGGAGGCAGCAGUGGGGAAUAUUGGACAAUGGGCGGAAGCCUGAUCCAGCAACGCCGCGUGAGGGAUGACGGCCUUCGGGUUGUAAACCUCUUUCAGCAGGGACGAAGCGCAAGUGACGGUGCCUGCAGAAGAAGCACCGGCCAACUACGUGCCAGCCGCCGCGGUAACAC